ensembl:rRNA 5S_rRNA 5S ribosomal RNA
GUCCAUGGCCGUACCACCCUGAAUGUGCCCAAUCUCAUCUGAUCUCAGAAGCAAGCAGGGUGGGGCCUGGUUCGUACUUGGAGGGAGAAUUUGACAGUGAAUUCAUCAGGACCUGGGCU